UACGAAGGGGGCUAGCGUUGUUCGGAAUGACUGGGCGUAAAGAGCGCGUAGGCGGUUUGAUAAGUUUGGUGUGAAAGUCCUGGGCUUAACCUGGGGAUUACACUGGAUACUGUUGGACUAGAGGCCAAGAGAGGAAAAUGGAAUUGCGAGUGUAGAGGUGAAAUUCGUAGAGAUUCGCAAGAACACCGGUGGCGAAGGCGGUUUUCUGGCUUGGAACUGACGCUAAGGCGCGAAAGCGUGGGGAGCAAACAGG
rnacentral:rRNA from 1 species